AUAGCUCUGAAAUGUUAGAUUUGAAAAAACUCGCCCAGAGCUGCAUCCUAUUAAAGUUCAGUCACCAUGGUUUCAUAUUGGAAUCGAUUUAAUAGGACCACUUCCUGAAACAUCAGCAGGAAAUAAACAUAUCCUCACUAUCUCUGAUUAUUGCACAAAGUGGGUAGCUGCAUUUCCCCUUAAAUCAAAAUUAGCCAGUGGUGUUGCAAUAGCAUUAUAUAAGUUGUUCAUGCAGAUGGGUAUACCAAAAGUUGUUACCUCUGACCAGGGCACAGAAUUUUACAACCAAAUAAACAGGGAACUUAUGUCACUGCUCAAUGUGAAGCAUCAGUUUACCACAGCUUAUCAUACACAGGUUUUCAAAUCUGAAUUGAAUUUGCAUAUAAUUUGCUGUCUGGUUAAAAAUAUUUGAUUUAAUCAUUUUUUAUUUUAGGCUAAUGGCUUAGAUGAGCGGUUCAAUCAAACCAUUCAGUUAAUGCUUGUAAAGUUUUGCAAUGACCGGCACAGUACAUGGGAUACUGUGAUAGAUUAUUACCUCCGCCUGAAUUAUCACCUCCCCCUAUUGAAAACUCAAAACGAGGUUGCGCUUUCUGGUUAUAGCUGUUAGAUGUGUUCCUAAAACAUCCGGAUUACCAUAACAUAACAUAAUUAACAUAAACAUAAACAACGAAAAUGACGCUUCGAGGACAAGAAUUCGAGAAAUAAAGUUUACUUGGUCUUUUGUGAUGUUCCAAUUCCAUUUUUUUGAAAGUGACUCAUCAUGUUAUAGUGUGAUGUUUUCUGAAUGACUUUAUGUGAUAGUGUGAACGUUUUCUGACUGGCAGAAGGUAAGUUUUUCAGUUAGCAAUUUACACUUUAAGUUAAAGCUCAACUUUAUCAUAUUGUUUAUUCACUAUUGGAAAACCACCUUUAUAAUCAUUUGAAGUUACGGAAUACUUAUAUAUAGGUUUAUUAGUUUUAAGUAUUUUAUUUAUUAUAAAGUUUAUUAAUUG
rnacentral:lncRNA from 1 species